UGUAUCUAUCACUGUUAAAAACCUCGUAUUCUUUGUUCAUGCCAUCACUGAUAUCAGUGUCGUCUGUGUAUAUAUAACGAAGGUCUCAAGGUGGAGGGUCACUUGAAUGUUUUUUUCAACAAUUUUCACUUAUAUGUGGAUAAUCGUGAUAGCCAUUUCAAGAUUAGGGUUUUGUAUUAAGGAACAAUGAGUCGCUCAAGUAGAACACUCUAUGUUGGCAAUCUUCCCGGUGACAUUCGUGAGCGGGAAGUAGAAGAUCUCUUUUACAAAUAAUAUGCGUGUCUCCAAC